AUUGAACGCUGGCGGCAGGCCUAACACAUGCAAGUCGAGCGGAUGAAGGGAGCUUGCUCCUGGAUUCAGCGGCGGACGGGCGAGUAAUGCCUAGGAAUCUGCCUGGUAGUGGGGGAUAACGUCCGGACACGGGCGCUAAUACCGCAUACGUCCUGAGGGAGAAAGUGGGGGAUCUUCGGACCUCACGCUAUCAGAUGAGCCUAGGUCGGAUUAGCUAGUUGGUGGGGUAAAGGCCUACCAAGGCGACGAUCCGUAACUGGUCUGAGAGGAUGAUCAGUCACACUGGAACUGAGACACGGUCCAGACUCCUACGGGAGGCAGCAGUGGGGAAUAUUGGACAAUGGGCGAAAGCCUGAUCCAGCCAUGCCGCGUGUGUGAAGAAGGUCUUCGGAUUGUAAAGCACUUUAAGUUGGGAAGAAGGGCAGUAAGUUAAUACCUUGCUGUUUUGACGGUACCAACAGAAUAAGCACCGGCUAACUUCGUG
rnacentral:rRNA from 1 species